UCAGAGGCAGAACCAAGUGUAGUGUGUUUUGUUUUUGUGGUUUUAAACAUAUACCUGCAUUGUUAAGGGUUGUUUUCAUAUUUUUUUUGUUGCUUUUAUGCAGGAGAACAAGAGACCAGAAUGCUACCUUUGGAGAAAUCUCAUUGGUAUGUUAAGCUUUAAUUCUGCUCUUAUGUGAUGAAAUUCUGUAUUGAGUAAAAUAUUUUAUAUGGACUGGCUGUUUAUAGGAAAUGUUCGGUGAUUGGCUUAUGCAAUUAAAGGACUCAAAAGUUAAAUAUUUGUACAAUUUUGUUCAUAGCAUAAUUGUGUAAUGGGUAUUUUUUGGUCAUUAUGGUUCCUUACAUGCAGAUAUUUUUAAAAGAAUGCAUACAUGAUUUAUUGAGUUUCCAUGGAACCUCCUAUUUGUAUAUACGAUAAACUAUUCAAUUAAUUUUUACUUUCUCAAUUUUUUUAGUUGGUUUCUUUAUGAUUUGCGUCUCCUCCAGCUCAUUCGCAUUUGACUACGAUUAACCAGUACCA
rnacentral:lncRNA from 1 species